CAAAUAUUAGGUUCAACUCACUUGCUGCAACCAAUGUAUAUAUAAAUCAUCGGCUGCGACCCGCAACAUGCAGCAGAGAGACAAAAGGACGACCUUCAUUUCAGAAGUCUCUAUGAUUGGUUGUGCGUGUUACCAUUGGAAACAGUGAGAAGGAGGAAGUCAUUUUCCAAUUCUCCUUAACCUUUUCCCUCACCUCGACAUGGUAAUGUAAUGAUUUUUUACAGACAUGAGAAUUUCACAUCAUUGUAUUCAGUGCAUACAGCUGACAAGAACAGACACAUAAUGAAGAUAUCCUAAUAUAACGUAUUCAUGGUGUGUUUGACAAAGGUGAACUACCUGAUAUAGUCUUACAUGGCUAGGUGUGUUAAAUUACACAUCAAGUAGACAGACUGGGGUUACACUAGCAUGAGGCUUAAUAGGUUUACCUUUAUAUAGUGGUCUAUAGGGGCCAUUUACAAUGCAAAACAUUUACAGUAUGCUGUCUAUGAAGGACUCAUAAUUUAUCAGAAAGAGUCAGAGAGAGAGAUUGACAUUUGUUUUCCAGAGAAAGUCAUUAAUUUGCUCCACCAUUUCAUGAAAUGUUUCGAACAACUUUGUGCAGAAGUGUCUAGGAAUGAGAUUAGGAAUAACCAAAUAUCUGACAUCAUGUUUUGUUUACAGGUACUGCACAUUCUGAUCUGACUCUGAUUGGUCAACCAUGAGUGACAGCAGAGAGGACCCUCCUCCUCAGACACAGGGUUCUGGAGGAGACAGAAAGGUAAGCUAGGCUAACAUGAGUAGGAUGAUGCUGAUAGGCUAACAUGAGCAUGAUGAUGCUGAUAGGCUAACAUGAGUAGGAUGAUGCUUAGGCUAACAUGAGUAGGAUGAUGCUGAUAGGCUAACAUGAGUAGGAUGAUGCUGAUAGGCUAACAUGAGUAGGAUGAUGCUGAUAGGCUAACAUGAGUAGGAUGAUGCUGAUAGGCUAACAUGAGUAGGAUGAUGCUGAUAGGCUAACAUGAGUAUAAUGAUGCUGAUAGGCUAACAUGAGUAUAAUGAUGCUGAUAGGCUAACAUGAGUAUAAUGAUGCUGAUAGGCUAACAUGAGUAGGAUGAUGCUGAUAAGAUCAGUUUUGGUGAAUUGAUACUGGCCUGGCUAUAGUCUGUGUGAAAUUAGUUAUUAGUUACUGAGUAAUUACAUGUAAUUACCAAAGAGAGAGACAGUCUCAGCAGUUUGUUGCAUCACUCCCCUGGGACUCUGUCUGGUGACUAACACACCAUUAAUAGUGUAUAGACCAAUCAGCACACCUUUGUUAACAGUGUCAUCAUAAGUGCAGUUUUCUACCCACCAAAUCCAGCUCCUACAUUUGUGUGUUACACCCCCUCGGAUGCAUUUACACCAGCUCACCCUAUUACACAGCGGCCUCCAGUCUUGGUGUCUGACUACCUUUCUUAGAGGGGUCCCAAAAUCCCAACCUUAACCCUUAGUGGAUGAAUGAGUAAUAUUGACCCUGUGAUUAUGGAACUUUCAUGUACUCUAACCCAGCAUGGACUCGGCUGUUUGCCCACGGUAGGGCCUCUUUUAAUGGGUAUAAUGAGGCAGCCUCCAUCUGUCAUUAUGAUGUAAAUAAGACUGUGUGUAGAGCCAAGAGGCUCUUGUCCAACAGGUGUUUCAUACAAGCACAGCCACCGCCAAUAAGUUAGGAGCACUAAUGAAAAAUCUUUCAUAGAAUAUUCAGUCCUCUGUAUUAUCACAAAUGGGCAAAAGGCGUCUAUCCCGCCUUCUCUCUUAUCCUUCUCUCCAUCCCUUUCUUCUCCAACAGCAUCACACCCUUCUCUUCUUCCCCAUCCAUCCUUUCUCCUCCUCCAUCCAUCUCUCAGCUUGACGUGCAGAGGGUGGAUCCUGUAGUAGAUGUUGAGGUUCAGACAGCAGGUGAAAGAAUGCUGAGGGUGAGGCAGGUGAGACCUAAUGACCUAAUACUGUUCACAGUAUUGAAGAAGUGCUAUGAGACUCAAAUAUCAAAUCAGUCAAUUGCAGGCCUGUGUGAUCAAGAAAAUGCAUUGUGUAUCGGUGGUGUUUCCUCUCAACCGAGGUUUGUGGCUCAAAGUGCACUCUAAGGCCACCGUUGUACGACAAGAGUACGAACAGGCCCUGUUGUAUAUGUAGGAUUCCAGUGAAGAGGAGGAGGAGGAAGGAGGAGAGGAACUGUGGGAUCUAGAAGCAGACACAGAGCCUGUGGUAAGGAACUGUUACUGAGGGUCUGGUGAGACAACCUGGAUCAAAAAGAGACACAGCCAUAAACCCACUCAGACACGGAUGGACAGGCAAUGUCGAAACUAAACUUGAGAUCUGUGCACAUGACAUGUUUUUUCAUGCAAAGCGCAUAUUGACAUUAACAUCACAUUGCAAUCACGUGUUCAAUUUGCCAGGCAGAGUUGAAGAAGAUAAUGGGGGAGUGGAGUACAGAACCAUGCAAGUUUGACGACCAAUCCAAUGUGCUCUCAUGGCCUCUGUCUCCUAUUGGCUCGUCUCCUUUGGAGCCCCUCCUCAUUGAGAUGAUUGACAUGUAUCUUGACACCCUCCUUGUUACCUUGGAGGAUGGGUCAGGGCAGAGCAGUAGAGAACACAGGUUGUUACCUUGGAGGAUGGGUUAGGACAGAGCAGUAGAGAACACAGGUUGUUACCUUGGAGGAUGGGUUAGGAUAGAGCAGUAGAGAACACAGGUUGUCACCUUGGAGGAUGGGUUAGGGCAGAGCAGUAGAGAACACAGGUUGUUACCUUGGAGGAUGGGUUAGGACAGAGCAGUAGAGAACACAGGUUGUUACCUUAGAGGAUGGGUUAGGACAGAGCAGUAGAGAACACAGGUUGUUACCUUAGAGGAUGGGUUAGGACAGAGCAGUAGAGAACACAGGUUGUUACCUUGGAGGAUGGGUUAGGGCAGAGCAGUAGAGAACACAGGUUGUUACCUUGGAGGAUGGGUUAGGGCAGAGCAGUAGAGAACACAGGUUGUUACCUUGGAGGAUUGGUUAGGGCAGAGCAGUAGAGAACACAGGUUGUUACCUUGGAGGAUGGGUUAGGGCAGAGCAGUAGAGAACACAGGUUGUUACCUUGGAGGAUGGGUUAGGACAGAGCAGUAGAGAACACAGGUUGUUACCUUGGAGGAUGGGUUAGGGCAUAGCAGUAGAGAACACAGGUUGUUACCUUGGAGGAUGGGUUAGGACAGAGCAGUAGAGAACACAGGUUGUUACCUUGGAGGAUGGGUUAGGGCAGAGCAGUAGAGAACACAGGUUGUUACCUUGGAGGAUGGGUUAGGGCAGAGCAGUAGAGAACACAGGUUAUUACCUUGAAAUAUGGGUUAGGGCAGAGCAGUAGAGAACACAGGUUGUUACCUUGGAGGAUGGGUUAGGGCAGAGCAGUAGAGAUAGAUACUCUAUAUAGAUCACAAAUAUGUAUGCACAUUGUCAUAUUCUGGUAUUUUACAUCAAGCCUUUCUGAAACAAAUGCAAAGAAUGUAAUUGAAUUCAUAUCAGAACUACACACAUUACCUCUGAAUG
ensembl:lncRNA